AGCAGCCGCGGUAAUUCCAGCUCCAAUAGCGUAUAUUAAAGUUGUUGCAGUUAAAAAGCUCGUAGUUGAAUUUCGGGAUCAAUAUAUCGGUCGUGCCAUCGGUACGUACUGGUAUCAUUGGUUUCUCCUUUCUGACGAACCAUGAUGUCAUUAAUUUGGUGUUAUAGGGAGUUAGGACUGUUACUUUGAAAAAUUAGAGUGUUUAAAGCAGGCUUUAGCUUGAAUACAUUAGCAUGGAAUAAUGAAAUAGGGCGUUCGAACCUAUUUUGUUGGUUUCUAGGAUCAACGUAAUGAUUAAUAGGGAUAGUUGGGGGCAUUAGUAUUCAAUUGUCAGAGGUGAAAUUCUUGGAUUUAUUGAAGACUAACUACUGCGAAAGCAUUUGCCAAGGAUGUUUUCAUUAAUCAAGAACGAAAGUUAGGGGAUCGAAGACGAUCAGAUACCGUCGUAGUCUUAACCAUAAACUAUGCCGACUAGGGAUCGGAUGA
rnacentral:sRNA from 1 species